rnacentral:rRNA from 1 species
AUUGAACGCUGGCGGCAGGCCUAACACAUGCAAGUCGAGCGGAAGAAGGGAGCUUGCUCCUGGAUUCAGCGGCGGACGGGUGAGUAAUGCCUAGGAAUCUGCCUGGUAGUGGGGGAUAACGUCCGGAAACGGGCGCUAAUACCGCAUACGUCCUGAGGGAGAAAGUGGGGGAUCUUCGGACCUCACGCUAUCAGAUGAGCCUAGGUCGGAUUAGUUAGUUGGUGGGGUAAAGGCCUACCAAGGCGACGAUCCGUAACUGGUCUGAGAGGAUGAUCAGUCACACUGGAACUGAGACACGGUCCAGACUCCUACGGGAGGCAGCAGUGGGGAAUAUUGGACAAUGGGCGAAAGCCUGAUCCAGCCAUGCCGCGUGUGUGAAGAAGGUCUUCGGAUUGUAAAGCACUUUAAGUUGGGAGGAAGGGCAGUAAGUUAAUACCUUGCUGUUUUGACGUUACCAACAGAAUAAGCACCGGCUAACUUCGUG